AUUCAUAUAGUUUAAAAAACAUUUUGCUUUCAUUAAAAAAAAGGGAUUACCCUAUGAAUU
rnacentral:tRNA from 1 species